rnacentral:rRNA from 1 species
UGGGGAAUAUUGGACAAUGGGCGCAAGCCUGAUCCAGCCAUGCCGCGUGAGUGAUGAAGGCCUUAGGGUUGUAAAGCUCUUUUAGCAGGGAGGAUAAUGACGGUACCUGCAGAAAAAGCCCCGGCUAACUUCGUGCCAGCAGCCGCGGUAAUACGAAGGGGGCUAGCGUUGCUCGGAAUUACUGGGCGUAAAGCGCACGUAGGCGGACUCUUAAGUCGGUGGUGAAAUCCUGGAGCUCAACUCCAGAACUGCCUUCGAUACUGGGAGUCUUGAGUUCGGGAGAGGUGAGUGGAACUGCGAGUGUAGAGGUGAAAUUCGUAGAUAUUCGCAAGAACACCAGUGGCGAAGGCGGCUCACUGGCCCGAUACUGACGCUGAGGUGCGAAAGCGUGGGGAGCAAACA